UGAAACACCUUUUAGUCUCAUAG
rnacentral:misc_RNA from 1 species